AUUAUUAAUAUAUGAAAAUAAUAUAAUUAUAAAUAAAAUUUUAAUUUUAAUAAUUCACUAAAAAAUAAUAUUAAAAUUAUAAUUAUAUUUUAAAUAUUUUUAUUUAUUUAAUUUCCAUAUUUUUUUCUUCCUCUAUUUUAUUCCUAUUAAUAUUAUUCAUUUUAGUAUUAUUUUGCUUUUUGUUUUUUAAUUCGAGUUUAUCACCUUGCAUAUUAUCAUUUAAUUCUUUCAGUUUUUGUUCAUAGUCUUCUUUGGGCACUGUAAUGCUAUGUUUAAUCCAAUUUCGAUAAGAUUCCAAUUCUCUCAAAAUAUCUUCAUUGCCUUCAUAUAAAUGACUAUAUUCGAAAAUCUUAUCAUUUAAUCUAAGCAUUGCUUGAAUUCUUUCUUUUUCUUUUAAGUCUUGUUUUUCGUUUUUUUUUGCAUCUUCAAUUUUUUCAAGUAUCUGGGAUUGGGAUAAAGAUUCAUUAAUAAAAACAUCAACACUUUUUGAUAUAUUAUUGUUUAAUUCUUUUGCUUCAAUAUGCAACAAGAAAUUUUCAUCGACUUCGAAAGUAACUAGAAUCUUAACUUGACCUUUGUUUGCUUGUGGUAAAUUUUUAAGCAUGAUUUUCUUAAGCAAAAAAUUAUCUUUAACUAAUUUUCUUUCUCCUGCGAAAAUUUCGAAUUUUAUACUGGUUUGAUUAUCUUGAGUCGUUAUAAAAUAUUUCUCUGCUUUUAUUGGUACUUUAGUUCCUCUAGGGAGAAUAACACUCAUUAAAUCCCCUUCGGCUCUUAUACCUAAAGAUAAAGGUGUUAUAUCAAAUAUUUUGAAAUUCUUAAAUUGCACAUUUUCCAUUUGAUUUAAUUUUUUUGCUGUAUAAAUAGCUGCACCCAUUGGAAUUGAAUUAUAAUAGUCACAAACAUCUAUAUCAGGGAAUUCUUCUAAUAUUCUUUCUUUGAGUUUUACUAUACGAAUUGAAUUACCUUGAAGGCAAAUGUGAUUAAUAUCACUUUUUUGUAAUUUUGAUUCUUUUAUUAAAUUGUCUAUUAAUUUGAUAAUUUUAUUAUAAUUGUCUUUAUUCAAUUCAUCGAAUCUCUCUCUUUUUAUAGUGUAUUUAAGUUCUUUUUUGUUAUCCAACUUUUUUUCUUCAAUUAUAGCUUCAUUUUGGAAGGUUAAUUUAAUCUUAGCUUCUUCUACCUUUUUAUUUAAUAUUUGCAUUUUCAUUGGAUCAUUUGGAAUUUGACCUCCUUCGUUUUUAUAGGUCUCUUUUACCUCUUUUAGAAGUUCACAGUCGAAAAUAUUACCACCACAUUCACCUGAUCCACCUGAUAAUUUAACUCUUAUGGAAUUGUGUUUGCUGAUAUUUAGCAAUGUUAUAUAGAUUUAAUUUGGACUCUUAAUCAGAAACAGGUUUAAUAUUAAUCCAUAUAAAAAUUCAUAUAUAACCAUAUUUUUAUAUUUGAUAUACUAAAUGGUUGUUAAGCUAAAGUUUCAAUAAAUGAUAGAAAUAUCCCUUUUAGGAUAAACCCAUAACCGCAUCAGGUUUCCAAGGUCAGAAGCCUCUGGUCUAUAGAAUAAUGUCGAUAAGGGAAGUCGGCAAAAUAGAUCCUUAACUUCGGGAAAAGGAUUGGCUCUAAGGAUUGGCCAGAUUUAUCCUGAUGUGUAAGUGUUUAAUUAUGUACAUUUCUUGAUAGACUGGCAUAAAACAAUCAACUUAAAACUGUCGCGGACAAGGGAAUUUAUUUAAUUAAAAUAAAGCAUUGUGAUGAGAUAAAAGGUGUUGACACAAUGUGAUUUCACCAAGUGUUCUGAAUGUUAAGGUGAAGUAAUUCAAAAAAGAGUGCGUAAACGGGGGAAGUAACUAUGGCUCGAAGAAGGUAGCUAAAUCCCUCUUAACAAAUUAGUGACCCACAUGAAUGGAUUAACGAGAUUCUGACUGUCCUUAUCUAUUAUCUAGCGAACCCACAGCAAAGGAAACGGGCCCGGAAAAAUCAGAGGGGAAAGAAGAACUUGUUGAAUUGACUCUAGUUUGACUUUGUGAAACGACUUUCGAGAUGUAGGAUAAAUAGGAGAGUAAUCAAUGGUGAAACACCACUACUUGAGAUUUCGUCUUAAUUAUUCCCUUAAUUAGAAAUUCCUCUUAGGAAUUUUUAAACAAAGGUAAAUACUGCUCUAGGCGAAAGACAUAGUCAGGUGGGGAGUUUGGCUGGGCAGCACUACUAUUAAAUGAUAACGCAGAUUUCCAAAGGAGAACUCAAAGAGUACAGAAAUCUCUCGUAGACAAAAAGGGGAAAAGCUCACUUGAUUUUUGGAAAUAUGGUCUAUCAAUCCUUUAACCUAUCUAUUCAUGAGAUUAGAGAUGUUAGAAACGUUACCACACGGAUAACUGGCUUGUGGCAGCCAAGCAAACAUAACGGCGUUGCUUUUUGAUGUUUUGAUGUCACUCUUUCUAUCGGGAAGCAAAAUUCUCCAUGUGUCGGAUUAUUCACCCUUAAUAGGGAAGGUGAUCUGGGUUUAGGCCUUCGUGAGACAGGUAAGUUUUACCCUACUGAUGAAUUGUGUUGCGACAGUAGACUAACUUCGCAUAAAGAGGAACCGUUGGUUCAGAUAAUUGGUAAAUACUGUUAGCUGAUCAGAUAAUGCCGAAGCUACCACCUGUUGGAUUAUGACUGAACUCCUCUUACAGAAAAGCAACACAAUCACUAAUAAUAAAUGAAAACAAAUAAGUUUAUAAAAUUAAUCUUUGGCUAAUGUUUAGUAUGGAAAAUUCCAUCUAACAAAAUUGAUUCAUAAUUUCUAUUAUUAUUGGUGCAAAUCUUUUGUAGACGACUUAAAAUAGAACUGGGUAUUGUAC
rnacentral:rRNA from 1 species